CUACGGCAGAGAUAAGCGCAGCUCCUCGGCCACUGCCUUCUUCGGACUGGAUGAAGGUGAUGUCGCAGUUAUGCGCCAGGUCCCAGACGACUUUGUGAAACCGCUCUUUGAACCUGGAACAAGAGACAUUAAGCCGGCCACACCACUAAUGAGCUGCCGUGGCAGCCAUUAAUCUCCCGGCACAUGGUUUUGGCUCUGACGUGGCGUCAGUCCUGACAGAAAAACAACAUGGUCACCUGGAGAACACACGAGAGCACGUCAAGUGCCUCAGUCAAACCGAUAACACACACAGCUGUUUCCCGGGGUUGAUCGAUGACUCGUCCACCACUCGGUCGUAUUCCAAACGAAAGUCUUCCAGCUCUCCGUUCCCUCCGAACGCUCCCCACUCUGUGUUCACACACAUCCUCCCCUCCUCUCCUUCCACCAGCUCUACAGAGUGCAUCUCCUCCAUGUAGCACACGUUGCAGCCCGUCCCUGAGAUACACAAAUGACGAUAUUUUAUUUUACUUACCAUUUCCGCGGUCCCGGUCAUGGCAUCCUCUGGAAUGGAGUACAUGCAGUGUUUGGUCUCCACCUUCCAGCCUCUCUCUUCGUCCUCACCCACAAUCAC